GUUAAAAAGCUCGUAGAUGGAUCAGAGUUCGACCGUGCACGGUGGCCUCACUUGUAUCGUCGGCCUCGGUUGUCGUUACGGUGGCGGAUCGACCCCGUGCGCUAAACGGUCGUCUCUAACUGACCGAAACGGUUCCCUGUGAGUAGGCCGCUAUAUUGGGGCUGAAAGCGCCAACGCAUCAACCAUAUGCAUACGGGACGUCGGUCAAUGUUACUGUGAACAAACCAGCGUGUCCAAAACAGGCUUUCGCCUGAAUGUUCGAGCAUGGAAUAACAAGGGAUCGAUUCUCUCGGUUCUUUUUGUUGGUUUUUAACCCGAGAAGGGGUAAUUCAGGCCACGGUGUCUGGGCUGGGUUCCCCGGCGCUUCGGCGUCGGCCCCAGUUAGGCCGUGUCCUUACGGGAUAAAUAGGGACUGACGGGGUCGUACGUACUUC
rnacentral:rRNA from 1 species